rfam:Picea glauca, whole genome shotgun sequence.
UCAUCGGUUUUUUUCAAAACCAUAUAACUUUAAAAACGACCAAACC